rnacentral:rRNA from 1 species
AUUGAACGCUGGCGGCAGGCCUAACACAUGCAAGUCGAGCGGAUGAAGGGAGCUUGCUCCUGGAUUCAGCGGCGGACGGGUGAGUAAUGCCUAGGAAUCUGCCUGGUAGUGGGGGAUAACGUCCGGAAACGGGCGCUAAUACCGCAUACGUCCUGAGGGAGAAAGUGGGGGAUCUUCGGACCUCUCGCUAUCAGAUGAGCCUAGGUGGGAGUAGCUAGUUGGUGGGGUAAAGGCCUACCAAGGCGACGAUCCGUAACUGGUCUGAGAGGAUGAUCAGUCACACUGGAACUGGGACACGGUCCAGACUCCUACGGGAGGCAGCAGUGGGGAAUAUUGGACAAUGGGCGAAAGCCUGAUCCAGCCAUGCCGCGUGUGUGAAGAAGGUCUUCGGAUUGUAAAGCACUUUAAGUUGGGAGGAAGGGCAGUAAGUUAAUACCUUGCUGUUUUGACGUUACCAACAGAAGAAGCACCGGCUAACUUCGUG